CCCCGCCCCCGCCGCGGCCUCGCCCCUCCCGCGAGAUCAGUGCUCCCGGCCAGUGCUUCUGGAUGGAUCUUCGUCGCCAUCCUCGGAUUGCUCGCCAUCCUCAAGCUUGAAAACCCGCUUAAAACCAUUUGGGGGUCAUCUUUAAGUGCUGAGUUGGACAUGGCUGGAGGCUGUGGCUGGCCUUCUCCCUGACGUCUUGGUGGAUACAUGACGCUUGAUUCUAUGAAAGCAACCCCUUCAGCCAACUCCUGUCUUCCUGGGAAAGCCCUUGGAAGAAACAGCUGAAGAAGUUGAAGCUGAAGAGUUUGAAUGCCUUGCCUGCGACCAUUCCACAGUAUCAGAAGGAACCUUGUGGUUGCAAGUGACAGAGGAUUCAACCCAAACUGAGUUAGCGAAACCAGUCUCAAAUGAAUCUGACUUGAAAAUUCCAAAGGCUCUAUGGAACAUUUCCCGACUUGCCCUAGCAGAGCUAAUAUCCUUCUGGACUCCAAAAGAACAUGGGCGUAUCUCUGUACCUACACCUCCUGUUUUGAGAUUAUUUGUGGACGAGUCCAUGUCCCUCAUUACACUAUGAACCUGGAAGGGAAAUGAAUCAGAAUGUAUUCAUCCUUCUAUCCCUGCCUCAUCGCUGGAACAUGCUCAGCUGAGAGAACACAUCCCUGCUUAGCUGGAGGAAAGCCAGAGAACAUUUGAGAAGAGGCUGGAACUUUCAUUUUGCAGCCACACAAGAUUAUUUAUGCAAACAGCAGCCUGGUCCUGCUUGUACAGAGCCUGGUCCCCUUGGAAGCAGUCAUGUGACCUCAGCCCAUUACUUGAGAGCAUCCCUUUAUCUCCUAGCCCAGAACAGGGCAGGGUUGGGGCAGACAGCUGCGGCUCACGGGCCAGUCCAGCCUCUCCCGGAUCUGCUGCUCGGAGCUCGCCUUCCAGGCUGAAAGGCAAAGCAGCUGGGGCAUGUUCGAGU
rnacentral:lncRNA from 1 species